GUUACAGCUAGAGUACAAAAAUGAUCAUCCCAGUCAGAUGUUUCACAUGCGGCAAGAUAGUUGGAAACAAGUGGGAAGCCUAUCUUGGCCUUCUGCAAGCAGAAUAUACAGAAGGAGAUGCCCUGGAUGCCCUUGGUUUGAAGAGAUACUGCUGCCGCAGAAUGCUCCUAGCCCAUGUGGAUCUGAUUGAGAAGCUUUUGAAUUAUGCACCCCUGGAGAAAUGAGAUGAAAAAAGUACCAUGCUGCAAGCCAUGUGGAACGUAUCUCUAAUUCCAAACUUGAAACUGGACUUCAGGCAGUAAAGGAUGAAAGCCACCUGUAGUGCAACCAUUGAGAGAUGUUUACCUUCUGGAGAAAAUACUGCCCCGAGCCACUAACCUCUUUCAAAGAAACAAAGGAAAGAUGAAGUCCACUUAACCAAGAUUGGGAGAUUAAAUUAAAAGUUUGGAUGCUUCUUUUUAAAUCUGUGUUUGGAGUUGUUUUGUGAACUUUUAGAUGCUUCUGCCAGCAAAAACAAAUGUUUGUUCAUGUAGAAAAAUUAUUGUAUUUCAUAAAAAUGUUGAAAUAAAGGAGGUCUUUCCCUCUAGCCUUCCUACAGUUUCUGGAUA